rnacentral:rRNA from 1 species
UACGGAGGAUGCGAGCGUUAUCCGGAUUUAUUGGGUUUAAAGGGUGCGUAGGCGGACGCUUAAGUCAGCGGUAAAAUUGCGGGGCUCAACCUCGUCGAGCCGUUGAAACCGGGUGCCUUGAGUGGGCGAGAAGUACGCGGAAUGCGUGGUGUAGCGGUGAAAUGCAUAGAUAUCACGCAGAACUCCGAUUGCGAAGGCAGCGUACCGGCGCCCAACUGACGCUGAAGCACGAAGGCGUGGGUAUCGAACAGG